rnacentral:rRNA from 1 species
AGUGAACGCUGGCGGUAGGCCUAACACAUGCAAGUCGAACGGCAGCACAGAGGAGCUUGCUCCUUGGGUGGCGAGUGGCGGACGGGUGAGGAAUACAUCGGAAUCUACUCUGUCGUGGGGGAUAACGUAGGGAAACUUACGCUAAUACCGCAUACGACCUACGGGUGAAAGCAGGGGACCUUCGGUCCUUGCGCGAUUGAAUGAGCCGAUGUCGGAUUAGCUAGUUGGCGGGGUAAAGGCCCACCAAGGCGACGGUCCGUAGCUGGUCUGAGAGGAUGAUCAGCCACACUGGAACUGAGACACGGUCCAGGCUCCUACGGGAGGCAGCAGUGGGGGAUAUUGGACAAUGGGCGCAAGCCUGAUCCAGCCAUACCGCGUGGGUGAAGAAGGCCUUCGGGUUGUAAAGCCCUUUUGUUGGGAAAGAAAUCCAGCUGGCUAAUACCCGGUUGGGAUGACGGUACCCAAAGAAUAAGCACCGGCUAACUUCGUGCCAGCCGCCGCCGUAA